rnacentral:misc_RNA from 1 species
UCCGGUUUGUCACCGGCAGUCUCAUUAGAGUGCCCAACUGAAUGUAGCAACUAAUGACAAGGGUUGCGCUCGUUGCGGGACUUAACCCAACACCUCACGGCACGAGCUGACGACAGCCAUGCAGCAUCUGUGCACGCUCUCUUGCGAGUCCCUCAGGUUUCCCUUUGGUACCACGUGCAUGUCAAGCCGAGGUAAGGUUCUGCGCGUUGCAUCGAAUUAAACCACACGCUCCGCUGCUUGUGCGGGCCCCCGUCAAUUCCUUUGAGUUUCAGCCUUGCGGCCGUACUCCCCAGGCGGGGCACUUAAUGCGUUAGCUCCGACACCGAAGGGGUCGAUCCCACCGGCAUCUAGUGCCCAUCGUUUACGGCCAGGACUA